rnacentral:rRNA from 1 species
CCUACGGGAGGCAGCAGUGAGGAAUAUUGGUCAAUGGACGAGAGUCUGAACCAGCCAAGCAGCGUGAAGGAUGACUGCUCUAUGGGUUGUAAACUUCUUUUAUAAGGGAAUAAAACGAGGUACGCGUGCCUUUUUGCAUGUACUUUAUGAAUAAGGAUCGGCUAACUCCGUGCCAGCAGCCGCGGUAAUACGGAGGAUCCGAGCGUUAUCCGGAUUUAUUGGGUUUAAAGGGUGCGUAGAUGGGUUGUUAAGUCAGUUGUGAAAGUUUGCGGCUCAACCGUAAAAUUGCAAUUGAUACUGGCAGUCUAGAGUACAGUUGAGGUAGGCGGAAUGCGUGGUGUAGCGGUGAAAUGCUUAGAUAUCACGAAGAACCCCGAUUGCGAAGGCAGCUUACUAAACUGUGACUGACAUUGAUGCUCGAAAGUGUGGGUAUCAAACAGGAUUAGAUACCCUUGUAGUC